rfam:Corynebacterium tuscaniense DNF00037 contig18, whole genome shotgun sequence.
ACUCAGGCACGAUCCGGUGAAAGCAUUCCCGGAACCGACCUGAAGUAUCAAUCCUGAGGGA